UCGGACAAAAUACAAUCAAGAAACAAGAGCUAAGUGUAUGAAGAAACAUUACAAAAUAUGUUAGCAUUUUCAGGGGUCUAGUUGUACCCAAAUAUGGUGGAGGAAACAAUGACUUCAUGGAAUUGUUCCAAUUCCUUCAGAUCGGCCUCAUGACUAUCAAACUCGGUACCAUCAUCUCGAUUGCUUCCCUUAGCAAAUGUGAAAAGGAAAAUGACUAAAACGUAAAGGAAUAUAAAUUAGAUAAAAUAUACAAAUUCAUAAAUUUACAAGAGUAACAUCAAAUAUUGGAAUUAGCUUAAAAUAAGCAGCUAAAACAACAAGAAAAAUGGGAAAAUGCAAACAUGACAAGCAUGAAAGAAUUUCAAGAACAAAAAAACAUUUUUAUUCACUAGCUUUCUUUUUCCCAUUCAAGUAUACAGCCAAUAAAAGUGAGAAAAUAAGAGUAUAAUAAGCAGCUAAGAAGGUUAACCAAAUGAAGUGAAUUACUAUGUUUCUAACCAUCUGGUCUAUAAAUCUCCAUACAAUAUGGUUCAACAGCUUCACAAUCCUCCAGUUUUCUGAGAUAAAAGUAAAUGCCCAAUAUUGCUUUACGUCCUGUUAAAUAAUCAUUUCUCAUACAUUCUAACUGAGUAAUUAUAACCCUCUACUCUUCUAUAAUUAAGGAGUACAAUAUAGUUAAAAAUACCAACUUAUUGCCAUCAUCAUUUAUCUUUAAGGAGAUAGAAGCAUCAUUUAUUUCACAGGAUAUGGUCUACCGACAUAAACAUAGUGCAUUAUAGAAAUGGCAAUAUGUUACUAUUUAACUAUUUAGAAAUCAAAAGUACAGAAAUCGAAGCAUGAGCAAGUGAUAGAACAAACAAUAUUGGAAUCAUUUGUUUGCAAUUUCAGGGACAAAGAAUGUAGAAAGAAUAAAUACGAUCACUUUGACAACUAAUUGUAAACUUACAAGGCCAAAAUCUGAAGCACUAAUGUUUCGUGAUCAAGCUUCUGUAAAGAAUAGUCUGUCAAAAUUUUAUGUCGAUCAAAAAAAU
rnacentral:lncRNA from 1 species